rnacentral:rRNA from 1 species
AUUGAACGCUGGCGGCAGGCCUAACACAUGCAAGUCGAGCGGAUGACGGGAGCUUGCUCCUUGAUUCAGCGGCGGACGGGUGAGUAAUGCCUAGGAAUCUGCCUGGUAGUGGGGGACAACGUUUCGAAAGGAACGCUAAUACCGCAUACGUCCUACGGGAGAAAGCAGGGGACCUUCGGGCCUUGCGCUAUCAGAUGAGCCUAGGUCGGAUUAGCUAGUUGGUGGGGUAAUGGCUCACCAAGGCGACGAUCCGUAACUGGUCUGAGAGAAGGGUAGGACACCCUGGAAAUAGAACACGGGCCAGAGUCCUACGGGAGGCAGCAGUGGGGAAUAUUGGACAAUGGGCGAAAGCCUGAUCCAGCCAUGCCGCGUGUGUGAAGAAGGUCUUCGGAUUGUAAAGCACUUUAAGUUGGGAGGAAGGGCAGUAAGCUAAUACCUUGCUGUUUUGACGUUACCGACAGAAUAAGCACCGGCUAACUCUGUGCCAGCCGCCGCCGUAA